rnacentral:rRNA from 1 species
GAUGAACGCUAGCGGCAGGCUUAACACAUGCAAGUCGAGGGGUAUAGUUCUUCGGAACUAGAGACCGGCGCACGGGUGCGUAACGCGUAUGCAAUCUACCUUUUACAGGGGGAUAGCCCAGAGAAAUUUGGAUUAAUACCCCAUAGUAUGUGAGAAUCGCAUGGUUUUCACAUUAAAGUUCCAACGGUAAAAGAUGAGCAUGCGUCCCAUUAGCUAGAUGGUAAGGUAACGGCUUACCAUGGCUACGAUG